rnacentral:rRNA from 1 species
CCUACGGGUGGCAGCAGUGGGGGAUAUUGCACAAUGGGGGAAACCCUGAUGCAGCGACGCCGCGUGGGUGAAGAAGUAUUUCGGUAUGUAAAGCCCUAUCAGCAGGGAAGAAAGAAGACGGUACCUGACUAAGAAGCCCCGGCUAACUACGUGCCAGCAGCCGCGGUAAUACGUAGGGGGCGAGCGUUAUCCGGAUGCACUGGGUGUAAAGGGAGCGUAGACGGCCGUGCAAGCCAGGAGUGAAAGCCCGGGGCCCACCCCCGGGACUGCUCUUGGAACUGUGCGGCUGGAGUGCGGGAGGGGCGGGCGGAAGUCCUGGUGUAGCGGUGAAAUGCGUAGAUAUCAGGAGGAACACCGGCGGCGAAGGCGGCCUGCUGGACCGCGACUGACGUUGAGGCUCGAAAGCGUGGGGAGCGAACAGGAUUAGAUACCCCAGUAGUC